rnacentral:rRNA from 1 species
ACCCCUUGAAGACGACGAGGUAGAUAGGGCAGGGGUGGAAGUGCCGUAAGGCAUGGAGCUGACUGUUACUAAUCGGUCGAGGGCUUGACCUG